CCCCCAUUGACCAAAACAUCCCCUGCCCCCAGGCUGACCUAAUCCCCCGCCUCAAGGCUCUGUCCUUUGUUGGGGCAAAGGGAUAAAUCUGCUGCCUCCAGCCUUCUAUCAACACUGCUGAGCCCAGCUUGUCCCCUGCUUAGGAUCCUGGCACCUCUUCCUGCUCCCGGCCACUUUUCCUCUCUGCCAGACCUCGCUAGACCCCCGCCCAGCCUGCCCCGAGAGCCCAGGACGCUGCUCCUUUACAGCCAUGUGGAUGGCGGUUGCUCUGCUCUGUGAAACAGAAGACUUGUCUCUGGUUACAGAUAUUCCAAGGAUCGAUGAGUCCCCUGGCCUUCAAUUCCAGAGUGCAUGGCGUGGUGGGAAGGGGGACAGAGGAGGCAGGAAAAGAGCAAGUAGAACACCAUACUGAAGUCAUUUUCGCCCAUCAUUUAGCCCAGUAACUUUGAACGUUUUGGUGGGGCACCCCUUGAGAAUCUAAUAAAAUUUUGAAACUGUGCUCUGAAAA
rnacentral:lncRNA from 1 species